GACGAACGCUGGCGGCGUGCUUAACACAUGCAAGUCGAACGGAAAGGCCCUGCUUUUGUGGGGUGCUCGAGUGGCGAACGGGUGAGUAACACGUGAGUAACCUGCCCUUGACUUUGGGAUAACUUCAGGAAACUGGGGCUAAUACCGGAUAGGAGCUCCUGCUGCAUGGUGGGGGUUGGAAAGUUUCGGCGGUUGGGGAUGGACUCGCGGCUUAUCAGCUUGUUGGUGGGGUAGUGGCUUACCAAGGCUUUGACGGGUAGCCGGCCUGAGAGGGUGACCGGCCACAUUGGGACUGAGAUACGGAGCAGACGCCUACGGGAGGCAGCAGUGGGGAAUAUUGCACAAUGGGCGGAAGCGUGAUGAAGAAACGCCGCGUGCGGGAAGACGGCCUUCGGGUUGUAAACCGCUUUAGCCUGUGACGAAGCGUGAGUGACGGUAAUGGGUAAAGAAGCACCGGCUAACUACGUG
rnacentral:rRNA from 1 species